GAGGAGCCUGCGGCGGAUUAGCUAGUUGGUAAGGUAACGGCUUACCAAGGCGAUGAUCCGUAGCCGGCCUGAGAGGGCGGUCGGCCACACUGACACCGACAUACGGGUCAGACUCCUACGGGAGGCAGCAGUCGGGAAUUUUGGGCAAUGGGCGAAAGCCUGACCCAGCAACGCCGCGUGAAGGAUGAAAUCCCUCGGGAUGUAAACUUCGCAAGAACGGGAAGAAUAAGUCUGUGCUAACACCACAGGCGAUGACGGUACUGUUUGUAAGCUCCGGCUAACUCCGUGCCAGCAGCCGCGGUAAUACGGGGGGAGCAAGCGUUGUUCGGAUUUACUGGGCGUAAAGGGCGCGUAGGCGGCCACCGCAAGUCGACUGCGAAAUCUCCGGGCUUAACUCGGAAAGGUCAGCCGAUACUGCGGGGCUAGAGUGCAGAAGGGGCAACUGGAAUUCUCGGUGUAGCGGUGAAAUGCGUAGAUAUCGAGAGG
rnacentral:rRNA from 1 species